rnacentral:lncRNA from 1 species
AUGGCAACCUGGCCCCCCUGCCAGGCCUGCCAGGAAAGCCGGCGGACACGUAAGCCACGCCCACUCUGGGCCCAACGCAGUCUCUUCGCGGAGACUCUGAACCCAGCCAGCGAGAGGCAAGAGGGAGUCCCGCCCCUUGCCCUCCAUAUCGGACUAUGGGAACCCACUCAUUGGCUGCAGCGUUUGUCAGCGUCUGGAGGCUUUGAAUCCACCAGGCAAAGACCCAGUGCAUCUGUGCGUUGCACAGUCGCAUCUGUGAAUCCCUGCGUCCCUCCUGCCCCGCCUGCCAAGACUGCUGUGCAGCUUUUCUACCGUCACAUACCGGUAAAAUGUGUGCAAGAUUCAUACAGAAUCGCAUCUGCAUAGAACUGCAAUGAACCUCUCCAUCAUCCAUCACCAUCUUCGGCAAGGUGUGGAUCUUAGCCUGGUGGUAGAAUGUGAAGAUGAGGACCUCAUCCAGGUCCUUCCUUCCUGGGGUGCUCUGCCUCAGCCCUAGAGGCUGUCCCUUACGUCUGCUGUAAUUGUAUUCUUUAGCGUUUUCUUUUCCCUUUACUAGGUAAUCCCCUCUUACACACAGUACUUUUUUAUAUUAAAAUUUCCUUGUCCAAAUUAUUGUGUGGUUUCUGUAUCCUGAGUAAACCCUGACCAAUACAUGGCUAUACCAAUUUAUACUUCUACCUGCAAUGUGUGAGAGCUCCAGUUCCUCCACAGGCAAUUAUUUUAAAGCCUUUGUCUACCAACCACAACAUCUGGAUGAUCUGUGUGUCUUCUUCUAUUGUCUGUUUUUUUCUCUUGCUUAUCAAUGAUAUUUUCAUGCCUCUUCACAAGUCUACUUAUUUUUUACUAUAUGUAGACAUUAUAUAUAAGAGGCAUAGAGACUCCAGAUGAUAUAAUUUGCCACACAGUGUUCCCUCUUUCUUCUGUUAAGCAGAUGGGAGUAAGGAAUGAUCGCAUCAGUCCAGUGAAGGACUGAAGUGGGUUGAGACUGGGUUUUGGUUUUUGGAAUCUAUCUAUCUCAAGUCCAUCUCUGGUUUGCCCCUAUACCUGACAUGUGGAUUUUGGGUGAGUGCCUUGCCGGGUUUCUGGAUCCUCAGCCAUGAAAGACUAUGGAGAUUCAGCUCUGCUUUUCAGAGGUUCCCAGUCCAGCUUCCAGACUGUCUCCAUGGAGCUUCAAGAUCUGGCCAAUGUCUUGAGGUGGGAACUGGCUCUGUGUUUGGGGAAGGCCCUUCCUUCUUGGGAAACUUUCAUUUUCUAAGCACUGUGGGACUAUAGAAUAUUUCAACCUUUUUUUUUUUUUUUUGAAAUAGGGUCUUGCUCUGUUGGCCAGGCUGGAGUGCAGUGGCGCAAUCAGAGCUCACUGCAGCCUUGACCUCCCCAGCUCAAGUGAUUCUUUCAUGUCAGCCUCCCGAGUAGCUAGGACCACAGGUGCGCACCACUACGUCUGGCUAAGUUUUAUUUUUUCUUUGUAGAGAUGGAGUCUCCUUGUGUUGCCCAGGUUGGUCUUGAACUCCUGGGCACAAGUGAUCCUCCCACCCUGGCCUCCCAAAGUGCUGGGAUUAUAAGCAUGGUCCACUGCAUCUGGCCCUAUUCUGCUUUUAGAUGCAUUCCUAGGUGCAGAACUCAGCAAAUGUCAGGUGCAGAAAAAUGGUUUUGUAUUUAAAGCUCCCAUGUUCUAAUUUGUCAUUCUAGCACCUGUAGCCACUAAAAGCUUUGCUGGUUUCCCUUUCCUCCAUUACAGGUCCUCCUGCUAGGCAAACUUGAUCAUUAGCGAGUGCCCCAAACUGACAGAUGCCCUGGGGAUGAGGG